AGAGUUUGAUCAUGGCUCAGAUUGAACGCUGGCGGCAUGCCUAAUACAUGCAAGUCGAACGGUAACAGGCUUUUCGGAGUGCUGACGAGUGGCGGACGGGUGAGUAACGCGUGGGAAUCUGCCCUGUAGCGGGGGACAACCUUAGGAAACUGAGGCUAAUACCGCAUACCUUCUACGGAAGAAAGUAGGCCACUGAAUAUGCUUACACUACAGGAUGAGCCCGCGUUGGAUUAGCUAGUUGGUAAGGUAAUGGCUUACCAAGGCUACGAUCCAUAACUGGUCUGAGAGGACGACCAGUCACACCGGGACUGAGACACGGCCCGGACUCCUACAGGAGGCAGCAGUAGGGAAUAUUGGGCAAUGGGCGCAAGCCUGACCCAGCAAUGCCGCGUGUGUGAAGAAGGCCUUAGGGUUGUAAAGCACUUUCAGGAGGGAAGAAAAGGUUAGGAAUAAUACGCCUAACUCAUGACGUUACCUCCAAAAGAAGCACCGGCUAACUCUGUGCCAGCAGCCGCGGUAAUACAGAGGGUGCGAGCGUUAAUCGGAAUUACUGGGCGUAAAGGGUGCGUAGGCGGUUAGAUAAGUUAGAUGUGAAAUCCCUGGGCUCAACCUGGGAACUGCCUCUAAAACUAUCUAACUCGAGUGCAGUAGAGGAAAGUGGAAUUUCCGGUGUAGCGGUGAAAUGCGUAGAUAUCGGAAGGAACAUC
rnacentral:rRNA from 1 species